rnacentral:rRNA from 1 species
GACGAACGCUGGCGGCGUGCUUAACACAUGCAAGUCGAACGGAAAGGCCCUGCUUUUGUGGGGUGCUCGAGUGGCGAACGGGUGAGUAACACGUGAGUAACCUGCCCUUGACUUUGGGAUAACUUCAGGAAACUGGGGCUAAUACCGGAUAGGAGCUCCUGCUGCAUGGUGGGGGUUGGAAAGUUUCGGCGGUUGGGGAUGGACUCGCGGCUUAUCAGCUUGUUGGUGGGGUAGUGGCUUACCAAGGCUUUGACGGGUAGCCGGCCUGAGAGGGUGACCGGCCACAUUGGGACUGAGAUACGGCCCAGACUCCUACGGGAGGCAGCAGUGGGGAAUAUUGCACAAUGGGCGGAAGCCUGAUGCAGCAACGCCGCGUGCGGGAUGACGGCCUUCGGGUUGUAAACCGCUUUCGCCUGUGACGAAGCGUGAGUGACGGUAAUGGGUAAAGAAGCACCGGCUAACUACGUGCCAGCAGCCGCGGUGAUACGUAGGGUGCGAGCGUUGUCCGGAUUUAUUGGGCGUAAAGGGCUCGUAGGUGGUUGAUCGCGUCGGAAGUGUAAUCUGGGGGCUUAACCCUGAGCGUGCUUUCGAUACGGGUUGACUUGAGGAUUUAGGGGAGAAUGGAAUUCCUGGUGGAGCGGUGGAAUGCGCAGAUAUCAGGAGGAACACCAGUGGCGAAGGCGGUUCUCUGGGCCUUUCCUGACGCUGAGGAGCGAAAGCGUGGGGAGCGAACAGGCUUAGAUACCCUGGUAGUCCACGCUGUAAACGGUGGGUACUAGGUGUGGGGUCCAUUCCACGGGUUCCGUGCCGUAGCUAACGCUUUAAGUACCCCGCCUGGGGAGUACGGCCGCAAGGCUAAAACUCAAAGGAAUUGACGGGGCCCCGCACAAGCGGCGGAGCAUGCGGAUUAAUUCGAUGCAACGCGUAGAACCUUACCUGGGUUUGACAUGGAUCGGGAGUGCUCAGAGAUGGGUGUGCCUCUUUUGGGGUCGGUUCACAGGUGGUGCAUGGCUGUCGUCAGCUCGUGUCGUGAGAUGUUGGGUUAAGUCCCGCAACGAGCGCAACCCUUGUUCACUGUUGCCAGCACGUUAUGGUGGGGACUCAGUGGAGACCGCCGGGGUCAACUCGGAGGAAGGUGGGGAUGACGUCAAGUCAUCAUGCCCCUUAUGUCCAGGGCUUCACGCAUGCUACAAUGGCUGGUACAGAGAGUGGCGAGCCUGUGAGGGUGAGCGAAUCUCGGAAAGCCGGUCUCAGUUCGGAUUGGGGUCUGCAACUCGACCUCAUGAAGUCGGAGUCGCUAGUAAUCGCAGAUCAGCAACGCUGCGGUGAAAAAGUUCCCGGG